UCCGUUGUAGUCUAGUCAUUUAGGAUAUUCGGCUCUCACCCGAAAGACCCGGGUUCGAUUCCGGGCAACGAAA
rnacentral:tRNA from 1 species